UCGGCGGUGGCGGGGCAACCGCGCCGAACAGUUGACGGCUGUCAAUUUUGUUCACGGAUGUGCCCGUCCGGUCGGGCCCGCUGCUC
rnacentral:tRNA from 1 species